AUUGAACGCUGGCGGCAUGCUUUACACAUGCAAGUCGAACGGCAGCGCGGGGCAACCUGGCGGCGAGUGGCGAACGGGUGAGUAAUACAUCGGAACGUACCCAGAAGUGGGGGAUAACGUAGCGAAAGUUACGCUAAUACCGCAUACGUUCUACGGAAGAAAGUGGGGGAUCGCAAGACCUCAUGCUUUUGGAGCGGCCGAUGUCUGAUUAGCUAGUUGGUGAGGUAAAGGCUCACCAAGGCGAGGAUCAGGAGCUGGUCUGAGAGGACGACCAGCCACACUGGGACGGAGACACGGCCCAGACUCCUAGGGGCGGCAGCAGUGGGGAAUUUUGGACAAGGGGCGCAAGCCUGGUCCAGAAAUGCCGCGUGAGUGAAGAAGGCCUUCGGGUUGUAAAGCUCUUUUGUCAGGGAAGAAACGGCUGAGGCUAAUACCUUUGGCUAAUGACGGUACCUGAAGAAUAAGCACCGGCUAACUACGUGCCAGCAGCCGCCGUAA
rnacentral:rRNA from 1 species